AAUUCCCUUCCAUAAUGUGACGGUUUGGAGCUAGCAAAGCUUGUUGCUUGCCUGCCUUCCUCCACCUCCCUCCUGCUUUACAUCUGUUUGAUACAGAUCCCUUGGAGGGAUGGGGCUUUGUGGAUGAUGGAAUUCCUGGUCUGUUAUGUAAACACAGUCACGGUGAAAACUCUCAGACAAAAGGGGAGAGGAUACCUAGAAAUUCCUGCUGCCUGCAUACUUUUUUCCUCUUAGACCAAGCACUUCUGCAGGAUUUUUUUUGAGAUAAUGCAAAUGGUUUUAUCUCAGGAUUAUCAUCCUGGGCUGGAUUUGGAGUUUGGAGUCAGAGGAGCUGUAUCAGUGAACCUCAAGAGUGAGAACAGGAUUAGUGAGGGAUGUUUUGGCUUUGCAGAGUGAGAUGAAGGAACUCAAAGGAGAGAGCUCUGAGUACCUAGAAAUGGCCAUUGCAGGGGCUGUGGGAAUGGUUAAAGGAAUGCCUUCUGAAAAGAACUGGGAAUAAAUUGUCAUAUUUAACCCAGACACAGAGAUCCAUAGGGAAUUUGGUGUCUCUGUUAUUAAAAGCACUCAGAAGGGGAGAACAAGGGGUUAAACAUUCAUAGAACCACAGAAUGGUUUGGGUUGGAAGGCACCUCUUGUUCCAACCCCCUGCCAUGGGCAGCAGUGAGGAGAGGGAAGAACAGUUUAAUUUCAAAGCCAACUGUAGCUUAAAAUCAAGGCUUAAAAACUGAAUAAAAUGGCCUCAAGCUGGAGAUGAAAGAUUGUUUCUCUGCAGGUUUUUUCUUAGGCAGCACAGUGUGCAAUCCUUCCUUUCCAGGAUCUUCAGGGAAUUGUGCUUCACAAAGCUCUUGCUAUUUCAGGGCCCUGGGUGUAGGUAAUGACCAGAUCCUCUUCACUCUUCCUAUCACAGCUUAUUCCUGGCUACUGGGGAGUGUUUGUUCCAUGGGAACGUGUGACCACACAUUUUUUGGUCCUUGCUGAUUUAAACACGCAUCCCGUGGUUAUCACAGUCACAGGAGGGUGUGGUUUACAUUCUGUUCCAUCCCAUGCUUAAGAUCAUUCUGCAGCUUUUACCUUUUGGAAUUUUAGUUAAGAAUUUUUAAGCUAUAAAUUGAUUUGUUUGUUCAGUCUAAUAAUCUUUCCCCUGCAUGAUUAUCAGUAAACUAACCAUAGGAAUGUUUUCCUUAAGGGGAAGGGAGCUGAAAACCUUCAAAUCUCUCAAAUCUGUCAAAUUGAUUUUGAUGCCAUCCCAUUCAUCACCAUCCUUGAUCAUCUCUCCAAAUGUUUCAGAUAAUAUCAGAAGAUAUUAGAAUACACUUUAUGAGUGUGUUCUCAAUACAGCAGGUCAGGUUGAGUCAAAACACUUCAGGCAGCAGCACUAAAAUGGUGAUUUUUAUCAUCCAACUGAGAAUGAACUUUGCUUUCUUUCCUCUUGCAGGUGCUCCAGAGUCGUGGGGCUGUUGGCUCCCUUUCCAAGAGAUGUCCCAACUCAGCUUGUGCUCAGUGUUUCCACACUCAUGGAGCUCUAGGAAAUGGAGUCAAUCUAUAGAGGGUCAGGCUGGCUUCAUGCUGGGGCAUCACUUGGAGUGAGAACCAGUGCUCUGCCACUUUAGGAGACCUGAAAUGGGG